rfam:Jatropha curcas cultivar GZQX0401 scaffold365_89, whole genome shotgun sequence.
AAAGAGGAUUUUCUAAAAUCCAUGGAAUUUUCCAAAUUAACUAAUU